AUUGAACGCUGGCGGCAGGCCUGACACAUGCAAGUCGAGCGGAUGAAGGGAGCUUGCUCCUGGAUUCAGCGGCGGACGGGUGAGUAAUGCCUAGGAAUCUGCCUGGUCGUGGGGGAUAACGUCCGGAAACGGGCGCUAAUACCGCAUACGUCCUGAGGGAGAAAGUGGGGGAUCUUCGGACCUCACGCUAUCAGAUGAGCCUAGGUCGGAUUAGCUAGUUGGUGGGGUAAAGGCCUACCAAGGCGACGAUCCGUAACUGGUCUGAGAGGAUGAUCAGUCACACUGGAACUGAGACACGGUCCAGACUCCUACGGGAGGCAGCGGUGGGGAAUAUUGGACAAUGGGCGAAAGCCUGAUCCAGCCAUGCCGCGUGUGUGAAGAAGGUCUUCGGAUUGUAAAGCACUUUAAGUUGGGAGGAAGGGCAGUAAGUUAAUACCUUGCUGUUUUGACGUUACCAACAGAAUAAGCACCGGCUAACUUCGUG
rnacentral:rRNA from 1 species